GCAGGAUUAGCUCAGUGGAAGAGCGAAACGUUUACACCGUUUAGGUCGGGAGUUCGAACCUCUCAUCCUGUA